ACAUGGAGGAAGGUCAAGCGCGAAAUGGGAAAUUUUAGAAAUUAGUUUCGAGAAUUUUAAAAUAAGACCCGCAACAAUUUGGGCCUAAAUGAAAUGAAACAAAAAGGGGAAAUUGAGGCCCAAAUAUUUGUGUUGGCCGGCCAUGCCCCUAAAAAAGGGCCCUAGCCCAAGCCCAAGUCAACCAAGACCAAAUAAAUAAAGGGCCAUCCAUCAUUUUCCAUUAGGAAGCUUUAAUAAAACAAAGCAAAGAAAAAAAAAAAGCCAAGGGUUCGGCCAUAGAGAAAGAGAAAGGAAAAAAUAAUAAUUUGGAGCUCACACCUUUAGUUCAAAAAUUCAUCUCUUGUGCAAUUACUACUAAGCUCAAAGCCCUCUUUAAUGUGAUACAACUUUGGGAGCAAGAGUACUUUUUUUUAUCAAGUGGGAGAAUUUGGCAAAAAGAUAUUGGAGAGCCCGAGACCUGAGUCGGGAUUGGUUGGCAAGCGAUCGAGAUUUGGUAGUGAGCGAUCGAGGUACGGACGUUCAUUUUGGUGAUCCCCCAGUAUAGGAUACAUACUCUGCCACUUGGAUUACUCCUUUUGAUUCGGAGCUCAUACUUUUGGUACAUAUCUUCUGCUACACAUAUUCUGUAUAUAUAUAUAUGACUAUUUCGGUACUGCGGGGCCCUGUCCCGUCAUAUGUUUCUGUUAUGUUUUGUAGAGGCCUGUAGUCAUGUAUGUGGGUCAUGGGUCAUGUUUGUUCGUUUGUGAUUA